rnacentral:rRNA from 1 species
CCUACGGGUGGCAGCAGUCGAGAAUCAUUCACAAUGGGGGAAACCCUGAUGGUGCGACGCCGCGUGGGGGAAUGAAGGUCUUCGGAUUGUAAACCCCUGUCAUGUGGGAGCAAAUUAAAAAGAUAGUACCACAAGAGGAAGAGACGGCUAACUCUGUGCCAGCAGCCGCGGUAAUACAGAGGUCUCAAGCGUUGUUCGGAAGCACUGGGCGUAAAGGGUGCGUAGGCGGUUUCGUAAGUCGUGUGUGAAAGGCGCGGGCUCAAGCCGCGGACGGCACUUGAUACUGCGAGACUAGAGUAAUGGAGGGGGAACCGGAAUUCGCGGUGUAGCAGUGAAAUGCGUAGAUAUCGGGAGGAACACUCGUGGCGAAGGCGGGUUCCUGGACAGUAACUGACGCUGAGGCACGAAGGCCAGGGGAGCGAAAGGGAUUAGAUACCCUAGUAGUC